rnacentral:tRNA from 1 species
GAGGAAAAUCCGUCGACUUUA